CCCAGAGAGAGACUACAUCUACUAGUGUUCAUGUUAAUGAUGUUCUCACUGUCUUCCAUCUACUCUACAUAUUUACAGAGGACCUCACUGAGAAGCUAGUUCCCCUCCCGGAGGAGUUGGAUGUCCUCAGUGGGGAGAUGUCGGAUUUAACUCAAGACCAGGAGUGCUCAAGUACUAUUUGAGACGGCCCGGUG